rnacentral:rRNA from 1 species
UACCCGCAGCACAAGUGGUGGUCAUUAUUAUUGGGCCUAAAGCGUCCGUAGCUGGCCUGUUAGAUGCCUGGCUAAAUCGAUGCGCUCAACGUAUCGAAUUCCGGGUAGACCGGCAGGCUCGGGACCGGGAGAGGCGUGAGCUACUCGGGGGGUAGGGGUAAAAUCCUGUAAUCCUCCGGGGAGGACCAGUGGCGAAGGCGUCACGCUAGAACGGCUCCGACAGUGAGGGACGAAGCCCUGGGGCGCAAACCGG